rnacentral:lncRNA from 1 species
ACUAACUGAAACCACUUUUACAGGUUGGAGCUUCUGGGCAGAGGCCUCUUUCACAGGCUGACUAAUCCAUCUUUCAUCUGGGGCUACCUGGCAUUCAAACAACUGUCCUGUUGGAGAAUACCUUUUAGAGGCGGGAGAGCAUGGCUGUGUCUGCUGGCUGGUAGCAGUGGAAGUGGAGAGAAGUGGAUGGCUUGAAGGACCAUUUUGAAGGAGUGAGU